AACCAUGAAUUUAAGAUCUACAAGUUGCUAUAAAUCUAUCCAAGAUAAAUUAGCAACUUUAAUUUAUUUAGAUAUGGCAAUGAACAAGUGUUCCUUCUCUUGGUUUUUGGUUUGUUUAAUUCUCAUUACCAUUGGUAUGAAGAGCGAGGCCAUGGAUGCUACCAUGAAUCACCCACACCCACCAUGCAAGACAUACAAUGAUUGCUGGCAUUUUUGUGGCCUAAUGAUCCCAUUUUGUGUGGAGGGCAUUUGUCAAUGUGGUAUUGCCCCAAAGCAAAAGAACAAGUCUAUUAGAUAUUCUCCAAAUGAGUAAUUAGAAAACUUUAAUUAAUUGUUCUCCUACUCCACAUUUCCUUUGAUUUAAUUUCUUGCAAUGAAAUAAAGAUUGUUGGAGUAUUUGAUAUAAAUUAUAAAGUUGUUUCAUAUUA